UUGUUUUCAAAUUAGGAAUAAAACUUCAUCAAACUCAUGAACUUACUCAGUCCCUUCCAGCGUGGAAUUCGCAACAACGACCCUCAGUCAUCAUCCUCUAUAUAUUACUCCUCAGCUCUUAUAUUUAGACGCACACAGUUAUACAGCUCUAGAGAAUUAUCAUACCCUUCAAGAUGAAACCGUACCUACGUCCAAUAUUCCUAUUAUUCCUUAUCCUUCUCGACCAAUCCAUUUCGGCGAGUGCUGCUAUAAAUAUUAAUGGUCUGAGAAACAAAAUUAGAGAAGUUCUAAACAAGCACCCGAGCAUCAAUCUUCCGGCAGAUAAACUGAAGAAGGUGAAGAGACCACUGAAGGCACUGGAUUAUCUGCUUGGCGAAUGUAAGGACAGGCCGCCUCAAGAAUUUCAAGAAUUUUGCCCGAAAUUUAAGAACGAUUAUCAACAAAAUUGCCCGAAUGCCGCGUAUGAAGCAGUUUGCCCGUUACUGAAGCAAGCGAUUCAAAUAUGUUGCCAGAAACACGCAUAACUCUGCAAGCCACGGUGGGCGUUUGGAUGUGCUUUUAGUUACCACUUUCUCUCUUGGAUUUGCUUACGUAUUGCUCCUUUUGUAUUAGUGGCUCCUGUCCCACCUUGCUUUUGGACUUGAGCUUUUUAUAUUUCUGAUUGUUCAAUGUCUGUUGUGUGUGCUCUCCAACCUGUGGUGACUUUCCGGUUUAUUCCUGUGGCUGUUUCUUGUAGGCCUUUCGACCUCCAGUAUUAAAUAAAAGAUCAUCUUGUAGCUUUUUAAUUUUAAUUAUUUUUUAUUUAUAUCUCUUCUAAUAUUAAUAAUAAAUAAUAAAAUAUAUAAAUAAAUAAAUGAUUAUAUACAAUUAAUCUUUUAGGAUGAUUAUUAUUUUAAGAUAGAAAAAAAUAAUAUAUAUUUAUAUAUUGUUAUGAGAGGUCUUUAGUUAUAUGCAUAAUGCACCCUUGGCAACUUGGGAGUUGGGAUUUCAGUAAUUAUUAUUGUGGUGGGUAAAGCUAUAAACUCGGUUUUGUGUAAGUUCCUUUACUUUCUUGAGGAGUCUAAGGUGGGAAAGAGAAACACCUCUUCCAAUGUAAGAAAGUUUUUUAAAACUGGUAUAUUAGUUUAGUUUCAAUCUAAUGCCUCAAAUUUUUUUUUCUUUUCUCCUUGUAUUUUUUAUUCCUUUUCUUCUUAUCUUUCCUUGUUUGCCCCUUCAAUUCUCUUCUUUCUCUCCCAUCUUCUUUCUCUCUCCUUCUAUCCGCCACCAUAGUGCACCGUCACUUGUAGUUGCUUUGGUGGUACUCUACCACAGAAGAAGCAAGUGGAGCCUUGUUUCCAUUACUUUACGGAAAUUCACUUAAUCACAUUCAAUUGGUUCAUUGAGGAAUGAUUGCGGCGUUGUGUUUUUUCUUUCGUGUUUCUGUGUGAGUCAUUUGAGCGGUGCUGCGAAAGAAGAAAAAACUCCGGCGGGUGCCCACUGGUUGUCUGCGGUGGAGAGAAGGAGUGUUUUGUGCGGAAGAAAAGAAGUGGGGCAAACAAGGAAAGACAGGAAGAAAGGAAUAAAAGAAAAAGAGAAAAGAAAAAAUAAUUGAACCAUCAGAUCGACGAAAACUAAACCAAGUGUCAAGGGAAACGAAAAGCAUAAUAGCAUGAGUCAAGUUCAAAAAUUAUACAAAGUUUCACAAAGAAGAUCCAUAUAUGUUUCAAAUGCUAGAUUCCUUCGAAUAGAUGGCUAUGGGUGAUAAAUUAUAUAUGAAUUGCAAAAUACAAAAAAUUCGUUGCAACUUGCAAGGGAUGCAUCAGUAACAAUUGUCUAUUUGAUAUAAAUAUUUAAUUUUAUAUUAACGCAAGGUAAGCAUAUUUUUGUUUUAAUAACAUACUAUUUAUAUUUUAUUUAAAAUAUUUAAUCAGCAUGUUUACGGACAACCCGCAUAUAUAAGCCACUUAAUCUGAAAUCACUUUACUCUUACACAAAAAUAAUGAAUCAAAGAGAAAUAGAGAACUAAGGCUAAACCUAAUCAGAAAAAUCUGAUAGUUGCCAAACACAAACCCUUCCUUUUACACUUCUUCAUCUGUGUGUGUUGACUGCUACUUGCUGCUAAUUUAGGAUCUUGGCAGUUGUAUACGAUAUGCAUGCAUGAGGUCUUGCUGCCUUGUGUUUCUUGUACGACUAUUUCAGCGAUACCAACAUGCAUGGUGCAUGGUUGUUGCUAGUUUGUACGUACAAAAUUUAUACAUUAAUUAUGUUAUAAAAUUAAAUUUUAGAUUUUUAGUUAUACGAUAAGUAUUUACGAUUGCCAAUUGUGAGGCAAUCAUUACACACAUUAAAAUAGAGCCUUGUGCUUGUGGAUGGAGGCUUAUGAGGUAAAAAUAUGCCCACGUGGGAUAUCCUAAAUGUUUUACGGCAAAAUCAAGAUCUAGAUGGUGUUUGAUGAUCACAUAAAGGUGCAACUUCACAACAUAUCAUGCUUUACCGGCUUCAUUCAAUUUGGCAAUCAAUUUUGUGCCCAUCUACUCGUUUCAUCACGAAAGAAGACCCCUAUACCUUAUUUUAUUUAUUUGGGUUACCAAAAGGAAUAUUUCUUUGAAAAGACAUGCAACAACAUCACAACAGAGAAGGUUACAUAAAAUAAGAUGAAAUUAAAUAAAAUUUUAUAAUUUUAUUUAUAAAAUAGAUUCAUUUUGUAAAAUAAAUUUGUCCAUAGUUUAAAAAUUUGAAUUAUUUUAUACAUUUCCUUUAAAGUAUCUAUUUCAUUUUGUAAUUCAUGUCAUUAAAGUAUUUGUAUCAAAUUGAUUUGGUAACAUUUUCUUUAAUUAGUUACUCAGUUAAGAUAUUUAUAUUAUUAUUCAAAUUUAUUCAAUAAAUAUUAUAUAUAAUAAUAUAUGUAUAAAUCACAAUUAAAAUAACUUUCUAUCACAUGAAUUAAUUUAAAAAGUUCUCAUGCUUUAAAUUUCAAAUUCUAUUUUUAUAUUUUAAUUAUAUUUAUAUAAAAAAUAAAAUAAUGAGUAAAAUACGUAACAUCCCCUUAAAUUUUGUAAGAGUAUACAUCUUUUUGUAUUUUUUAACAUUUUCACUUUUUUUUAGCAACCUCCUUGAUCUAUAGGUUAACAUAGUGUAAUAUCCAAACAAUUAAAGAGAUUUAGUUUAUGAAUAUGGAGUGUUGGUAAUAUUUUUUUAGUGUAAUGUACUCGGAAAAUUAAUCUUCUACCAGUUGAAUAAAACUAUUUUUUUAUCAUGUAUCUUUUUAAAUUCUAUAUGUGUACAUAAAAUAAGGUUACACAAAUUUAAAUAAAUGACCAAAUUAAAAUACAUAACAAAAUUAAAAAUUUAAACACGUACAUAAAUUUAAUACAAAAUAACUUAAAAUACUACCUAAAAUACUCUACAAAUAAAAAAAUUAAAAAUUAAAUAACUACAUAAAUUUAAAUAAAUGACCAAAUUAAAAUACAUAACACAAAAUUAAAAAUUAAAUACCUACACAAAUUUAAAUAAAUGACCAAAUUAAAAUACAUAAAAAUUUAAAAAUUUGAACACGUACAUAAAUUUAACACAAAAAAACUUAAAAUACUACCUAAAAUACUCUACAAAUAACAAAAUUAAAAAUUAACAUACCAACAUAAAUUUAAAUAAAUGACCAAAUUAAAAUACGUAAUAACAAAAUUAUAAAAUAAAACACGUACAUAAAUUUAACACAACAAAACUUAAUUUACUAACUAAAAUACUCUACAAAUAACAAAAUUAAAUAUUAAAAUACCUACAUAAAUUUAAAUAAAUGACCAUAUUUUUUUCCAAUUAUUAAAAUUUAAAUUAAAUAACAUAUAUUAUACACAAAAAAUGGUAAUAAAUCAAAAAAUUACUAUGGAAUAAAAAAAUUAAGCAAUCUAUAUAUAUAAAAUUAAUAAAGUAUCAUAUAUUUCAAUAAAAACUAUAAAUAAGUAAACUAAAUAAUAUUCACAUUCUAACUAAACCUAAAAUACCAUAUAUAUAAUACAAAAAAUAUCAUACAAACCUAAUAAAUCUAAACCAAAUAAUAAUAACAUAACAACUAAAAUUAACGUACAAAUAAUUUUAUCACAAAUAAUAACAUAAAUUUAAAAAAUCUUAACAAAAUCAUAUUAAUAAAUCAACUACAACUAACGUACAAAUAAUAAUAUACCAACUCAAAUUUAUAACAUAUACAUAUAACACAAAUAAUAUUAAUAUUUCAACAUUACUUAAGAUUUAAAAGUUCCACCUAACAUCAACAAACGUAGCAUAUAUAUAUAUACAAAAUUUUUAAAAAAUAUUAUUAUCAAAUUAACUAAAACUAACCUAACAUAUAUAUAUAUAUAUAACACAACUAAUAACAUACAAUUUUGAAAAACCUAACUUAACUAAUAUUAACAUAUCAACUAAAAUUACCAAGUUAAAAAACACUUACUAACAGAGAAAUCACGUAAUAGGAAGAGGAGAGAAACCACGUAAUAGGAAGAACAAAGCACUGUCCUACAAACAUAAACAAACCUAACGUAAAUAAUUUUCAUAUAUAUAUAUAUAUAUAUAUAUAUAUAUAUAUAUAUAUAUAUAUAACAACAAAUAUUUACCAUUAAAAAAUACUUACCAAGAAGAAAAAGCAGAACAAAAUAAGAACACCACAAUGUACUGCAGGAACUUAUGAAGAAGAGGAAGAAAGCAAUGCAAGGAAGCAGCUGUGGAAUCCGUCAUGGAGCUUCUUCUUUUAUAAUGCAACAUUUUUCAAUUACCACAACUCGCCAGCCACGCUAACGAUUUCCGUCAAAUGCAAAUUGCCAUCCCUAUUGGUGGUUCCCUCCUGCACUGCUGACCACUGAACCCUGCACACCUGCAUGGCCUGACGGACUCCUGCAAAGCUGCAUGGCCUGACUCCUGCAAAGCUGGACCUCCUGAGCCUACCUAGUGGAACUCGCCAGUCAAAUUGGCGGUUCCCUAUGCAUGACAGUAUCACCAUUGCUACUUGCGAUUUGUUCACGGAGAGUAAACUCGCUAGUUCCACUGGCGAUUUGCGUGGUGCAUGCAUGCAAAACAUGUAAAUAACAGCCCCCUCCCGGAAAAACUUUAAAAAGGACCCCAUCUGGGAAAAUACUUUUUAAAAGUACCCAAAAUGAGAAAUUUGCCUAGUACUUGAUCCUUUUUCUCUUUGAAGAGGAUGAGCUCGAGAUUCACUUAUGAUCCUUGUGUUUAUUAUAAAAUUUAAUCCAUUAAUCAAGUUUGAAUCAAUAAGUUAUAUAUUAGUUCGAAUAAAAUUAGACUUGGUAUUCUAUAUUUAUUUUUUCAUGUGUAUUUUUUUAUUUAUUAAAAAGUUCUAGCAUAGUUCCAAAUAUAUUAAUUUUAUGACUUACUCAAAAUUGUUUUAAAUUUUAAAAAUAACUAUUUGUUUUUAAUAAAAAUGUAUAAAAAAUUAGGGGUGGCAUAAGAGAAAGGUCUAAGCAUAGUAAAAAAAAUAAUUAAAAAAUGCUUUUCUCACGAUGCAUAAGAAAAUGUCCCUUAUGCAUUUUCUUAUGAUCGAUUGAUUAGUUGGAGCAAACAAAAAUGAGAAAAAAUGCUCCACAAAAUAAUUCAAUCAUGUAUUUUUUUAAAAUUUCUUAAAAAUUUCUAGCAUAGUUCCAUAUAUAUAUUAAUUUUAAUUAUGACUAAAAUAGUUUAAAUAUAAAAAACUAUUUAUCUUUUAGAAAUAUCUUAAAAAUAAUUAAACAAAUAAUAAUUUAAGUGAAUAAAACAAAAAAAAGUUAUAAAAAAUAAUUUUAAAAGAUUUUUGUGGAUAAAUGAGAGGGGGUAUUUUGAAAUAAUUAAAAAAUAUUAAUUUUUUAAAAUACUGUAAUGGAUUAAUUGGAUAUUCAUCCAUAAAAAUGUUAAUUAAUGCAUUUAUUAAAUUGAUCAUGAACACAUUAAGUUUGUUUUAUGAAUUUUGAAUGGAUAUUCAUAAAUGAAAUUGUGGUAUUUUUGCUAAUGAUAAUAUUUUUUCUCAUCAUUAUAUGUAGUUCAUCUCUCUUCUAAGAAGGUAAAAAGUUAUGCUUUGUUUGACAUGUUGUGGUAUGGUCUACUUUGAUUAUGCAUAACAAAAUUGUGUUUCAAGGCGUUUUCUUUUGACUUUAAUGGUGUUUUGUACUUGAUAAAAAAGGUUGUUUUGUAGACAUGGUAUGAGACUAUGAGCAAUACUGUCCGUUCUUUUUUAAUUAGUGUAUUGAUCAUGUAAUUUAUCUUUAUUUGUUCCUUUGGUUUUGCAUUAAUUGUAAUACAUAUGUAUUAGGAUUGGAAUACCCGUUGUACUCUUUUUCUUAAAAUAAAUAAAUAAAUAAAACUUUGCUUUUAAAAUAAAUGUACGUUAGCCGCACUCUCUUUUUAAUAUUUUCUCUUAUACCAUUAGCUGAAAAAAUUAACAAUUUUGGUGGGAUUUUGUUUCUUUUAAUGAGGUAUCUCUAUCUAUCUAUAUCGAUUUUGAAAUGAAAUCCAUCCAAAUUGAUGACAUUUUAUAAAUUUCAAGCAAUGGUAAUAGAGUAUUAGAAAAAGAGUGUCAAUUUUUUUUGCUAAUAUUCCUUAAAAAAAUAAGAUCGUAUGAGUUUUUUAGGUAGAAGCACUUUGGACAUUUAUUACCAAUCCAACUUUGAUUUUUUUAUUUAUUUAUUAUUCACUACGGUGUGUUUGGAUCAACUGAAAAAAGUAGGUUAUUUUAAUAUUUGAUUAUAUUAAUAACAAUUAUUGGUAUAAUACAUUAUAAUCCGAAUAAGUUUUUGUUUGAGUUUGUUUCUUGUAAACUUAUAUAUUUUAAGAUAAUUAUUUUUUUAUGGAUGAAGAAAAUAAUUAUUUUUUAAUUAAAAAAAUACCUUUAAUUUUACAAAUUUGAGUUGUUUUUCAAAUUAUAUAAGAUUAACACACUAUAAAAAAACUAAAAUUUUCAAUAUACCGAAUCAUCAUUCAGAUAGUCUCUUCUCUCCAUGUGAAGAGUUAUAAAAAUUCUAUUAAGAAAUAAAAAAACUUCCGGUUGAAGAAGAAUAAUGAAGUCACCUAUAUCCAUGUAAAUCUUGUUUCCUAUCUCUACAAAUAUGAAGGAAUUUUUUAAUUAUUAUUCAAAAAAGUUUCUUCUAUUAUUUUCUCUUGUAUUAUUCACUAAAAAGACUAUAAUAAUAACGGAAUUACGGUUAGAGAGUAAAAAAAAAGAAUUCAAGGUUAACACCAUUGAGGAAAAAAAAAAUCCUUUCUAUUAGAACAUCUAAAAAGUUUUUUAUAUGAUUUUUAGUAAAAUAAAAAAAUAUUAAGCAUAAACAACACAUUGGGAAACAUUCUCGAAAGUUUUGAGUAAAUGAAUGUAACUAACAAGUAGAAAUAAUAAGAUUUCUCUUUUAUCCCAUUUCAUUAAUUCAUUAAGUAUGUAUAAAAAAGCGAUCAAUAUAGAAUCUCUUGCAUACUUAUACUCUUUCUUAUUUCUAUUUGAAAAUUUUUCUUAAUGUUAACAUUCUCGAACAGGUGUUAAGAAAAGUGCUUAAUUAGAUUAGACAUCAUUUACGGAUUCAGAUACAUUAUGUUAUUUAGACAAUUAUUAUAGAUUAAAAUAUUUCUAAAAAUUUUCAUGAUAAUUUGAUAUAAUGUAUUCAUAAUGAUUAUAUUAGUAUUUUAUAAGAAUUUUUCUAAAAUUACCAACCAUUUAUGUUCACAAUUGAAACACAAUUAAAGACCAAUAAAAUUUACUAGAACAAAUAACGUAUUUGUUAGAUUUUAAACUAGAUAUUGGGUUCAUAUAUUUCUAAGCACAAACAAACUAGAACAAAUCCAAGUUGAAUUGCAUCAAAUUUUCUAAAAGGCUAUUAGACAAUGAAUAUAAUCAUUAUUGGUCUUGGUGCUUAUAAUUAUACAAUAAAUAUGAACUUAGCAGACAAAAUGAAAAUUAUUUUUAACUUUAUUAAAAGAUGAGGAAACCAAAAAUUCACCUGGCAGAAGAAACUACUAAUGUACAGAAGCAGAACAAAUCUAAAUCUACAAAAAUGAAACGAAAGCUUGAGUAUAUUGCUGCAUAUACCAUCAAGAAUGAACAGUUAACAUGGCCUAGUGUCAUGAAUAAACACUUAAUCACCCAAAGAACCUAGAAGGAGAACAUAUGAGAUGGAAAUUAAGUCAUUUACCUUUCAACAACCAAGGUCAUGCCAUAAGUUGCUAUCUCAGGAAAUUUCCCGAAGCUAUCAUUAGUUCAUUACCAAACUAUUUAAUUUCAUUGACAUAUGUCUUGCUACCAGAUUUUAUGUAACAAAGAUUUUAAAAGCCUUAUAAAAAGCCAAGAUUGCAUGUGAAUCAAAUCGUAAAAAGGGUACAAUUCAAUAGUUUUGCAAAAAUAUAAUUGUAAUAGCUACAACAUCACAAUACUUCAAUUUCAAACAUGAAAUUAAACAUAUGACUUAAAACAACACUAAAAUUCUUUAUUAUAAUAUGUGGAGCCUCAAAAAAAGAAUUAAAAAGAAAUUACUUCUAUAUAUUGCUAGGAAACAGAAUCAUGAUUCCUCUAAAUCCAAGCUUUCAAACCAUUUUAUAUCCUAUUUAAGUCAAAUCGUUAAAACGUAUCUUUGUAUCCAUUUUAUGAAAGUGAAAUCAUCUUUAAAAUAUUAAUGCUUUAGGCUAAGACAAAUCAUCCCCAUUUUCAUUGCAUCGGUUGGAAAUCAUUGUAGCACCCGGCCAUAUCAAAUAAAUUAGUAUGUAAAGCACUAUUUCUUCCUACUUAGUCUAACCAAAAUUAAUUAAAAUGAAUAGGAGAUUUGUUUUAAUUAGAGUUAGAGUCCUACAUUACAAAUUGAGAUUAUUUGAUUCAUUAAUAAAUUUUAAGAGCCAAACAUUUCACAAAAUUAAUCUUAUGUGUUUAACCCAUGAUAACCGAUAAAUAUGGAUUAUUUUUUAUAAUAAAAAUAUAUUAAAAAUAUCUUUAAAAAUAUUUAUUUAAUAAUUAUUUUUAGCUUAAAUAUUAUGAAUUGAUAUUUUUUUCUAUUUAUAACUUACAUGUAUGAAAAAGAGGAAUUAAAAAAGAAAAAAAGAUUAAAAAAUAUAAAAAAUAUAAAUAAGAAAAAUGUUGACAUUAAACCCAAGUCUAAGGAAAACAAUCACGUUAACCAUUCUAAGAUUGAGAACUCUCUCAACCUAUUUUUUUUUGUAUUUUAAAUUAAUUCCUAUCUCUGUCUGUCAAUUAAAUUUAUAUUAAUUUAAGUAUAAAUAAAAUUAAUACUUAAAUUUUUUAAUAUUUUACUAUUUAAGAUAAUUUGAUGCAUUUAUGAAUGAGUUACCAACCCACUCAUACACUACAAUUAUUCCCUUGAAAUUCAGCUAUUAACAAUGAAGAAUUGGCCCUAUAUAGUAGCAGAAGUGGAUAUAUACCGAUAGGGGAGGAUAGCAAAAGCCAUUCAAAAACAAAGAAAAACAUAAUAUGUAGCUUUAUCCAUGUAUUAGGAUCAUAUUCGUGUAGCAUUAAAAGAACAAAGUUUUUUCAGUGACAAACUCCUAAAAGCAUCAUGUCAAAGCCGUAGAAUCAACGAGCAUCCCAUAAAUAAAAAUAAAUAAAAUCACCAUAUUCAUGCACAAUUACACGUAGAAAUUAAUAAAAUCUUGUCCCCCGACAUCCGUACAACAAGAUAACGAAGAAAAAUCUGGUUGAAGUCUACCAUAAACCCAAGGCCUUCAAUCCAAAACAUAUUGCAUUAAAUCAGGAGUUUCAACUUUCAAGCUAUUAAUCCAAUUAAGAUUUUAUAUCCUUUUUUUUAAUAUUCAACUUGAGCUAUCUGUCUCCAUUAUUAAAUCUUUAAAGUUCUGAAAAUGAAAAUUCAUCAUCCCUAUAGAACACAAAAUAAUACAGAUAGACAAGUGCAAGUUAUUACACAAAGUUGAUAUUCAAACUAUACAAUAAAAAGAGGAUCGAAUGACAAUAAUGAGAGUGAUUAAAAAAAUAUACAAAUUCAAGGUCAUGACAACUCUGAUUCUGUGAAAAGGGAAGUCCAAAUGAAUGAAGAAUAAAAGACACUCAUUACCUAGUGUUUAGUUAACUUUCUGCUAGAAAUACUCUUACUUCGAGCCACAUCAGGUGCCAACUAAUUCUAUUUCUGCUCUGAGAAACUACCAUAAAAAUUUGUUUGGGAAUCCACAACCCUACCACCUUUUUCUGCAAACCCCUAAUUGAAAAGAGAGUAUAAUAAACACAAAAAGCUUGUGGGGAAAAUUAAAAGAGAGGGAGAGGGAGAGGGAGAGAGCACGAGAGAAAAAUUAAAAUUAAAAUAAUAUUUUUAGGAUAGUUGUAAAUAUUGUAUCAUGUACCAUAGAAAUGAUUAUAAAUGUAUCUAGAUUCAUGUACUUGUCCCUAUAAAAGACUAAUAUUUUUAACAGAAAAUAAAAAAAAAAGAGUUAAAAUGAAACCAUAAAAAUUUAAAAUAAAACUUUUAAAAUUUGAUAUACUAAAUCAGAAAAGAAAAAUACUAAAAUAUAAACGAUGAAAAUAUUUUUUUUUAAAACUUAAUAUUCCUAAAAAUAAAAUAAAAAAAUACAAAGAACCAAAAGUAAUAUAUAUCUGGAGGCCUAAAUGCCAAAAACAAUCACACAACUAAAACGAAAAGGCAUCAUCUGGAUGGGGCAACGCAUUCAACAACUAAUGAUACUCCAAAUUAAAUGAGUAAAUUUAUAAAUGUACAAUCCAUUUUUGUGUGGAUUGGACAAGGCAAUUAAGAGAGAUGUGAUAUCAUAGCAAAUAUAGAUAUUAAAAAAUAUAAGAUGAAAGAGAAUGAGUUUUAAGUAGGAUGUAUGUUUAUAAUGAUAACUCCUAAUACUAUUCUUCCUAAGCUCAUAAAUCCAUAACAUCCAAGUUUGUGUGAAACAUAAGACUUAGACUUGGUGUAUAUUUGAAUUAAAGUUGACGAUUUUAAUAUUAUAGUAGUUUUAUUGUAUAAGUUCAAGAAGGACUUUGGUCUUGCUUUUUUGUAAAUUUGAUUUCGAAUAUAAGUGUGUAAACAUACUCUUAAAGAUAACUAAACAUACUCUUAAAGAUAACUAAAUAUAUCAUAUGAAAUAAAAAUGAGUUUAUGCUCCAAACCAAGUUUAAAACACCAAAAUAAAAUCCAAACAUGUUGAUAUCGAUGUUAUUAAUAGUCUAAUGCAAAAGAAGCAAAUCGUAGACAGAAAAUGAUAACUAAAAGCAUUCACCAAAGCCCACCAUGGCAAAAGUUGUGAUUAGUAUAUAAUGUUGGAGCAUGUUGUGCUUAUUAGAAAUCGAAAGCUCCACCUUUGGUUUCUUUGAUGACAAUAUAUAAGAGUGCCGUUGAGGUAGGUGACGUUGUAGUAGAAAUUCAUGUCGGGGACAACACAUCGUGGUAGCACCUACUGAUGGGGUGACAACACAUCUUUAGCAGGACAAUUAAAGAAUAGUCGAUGAAGAACAAUUGAAUAAAAAGCAAAAAAGAAUCACCAAUUCGAAACAAAUAGUAUAGCACUGCACUACUAACUCACCCCAUCAACCGCAAGUGGCAAAUGACUCCAAACCCAAAACAAUGAAGAAAAUAACCAUUAGUUAAAAUUCGUGAAAUGGGAAUAUCUGAGUAUAAAAUUACAACUAAUCUGAAGGAAUCUGCUAAACAACCUAAUCUUCUAUCAUUUUCAUUUGAUAUUUAAAUUAUUGACUGCUGAAACAAAACUCAUAAAAGAUAAAAUCUGCAACAAUAAUAAUAGAACUCUAUCUAAAACUUAUUCAAAAUUCAAAUAAGGCAGGUCUCAUAUCUUAGCUAGACANNNNNNNNNNNNNNNNNNNNNNNNNNNNNNNNNNNNNNNNNNNNNNNNNNNNNNNNNNNNNNNNNNNNNNNNNNNNNNNNNNNNNNNNNNNNNNNNNNNNCUGGUUCUAAUGUCACGACAGGGGACAUACGCCUCAAAGGUGCCAUAUGGUCGCUGCCGAGUGAAAACGAGAGCCUGUCGUGGGAGGACGGAGUUUUGGACUUGGAGAGUGCGGCGAUGCAUCAGAUAGGGCAUCUUCUAGGGCUUGACCACUCUAACAAAGAGGACUCUGUUAUGUACCCUAACGUAUUGCCAUGGCAGCAACGAAAGGUGGAGCUCUCGGUUUCUGAUAUGGAAAACAUUCAGCGUCACUACACUAACGGCAUCUCUGGCCACAGUGGGCGUUGGGGAGUGCUUUUAAUGAAUAUCUUGUCUCUUGGAUUUGCUUACGAGCUUCUUUAAUUUUGUAUUGGUAUUUGGGUUUAUGAGCUUUUGGGAACAAUUUCAUGACUGUUGACUUGAGUAUAAUGCAUGUGUUCCCCAAACCAGGCAUGACAAUCAAACCCAUAUCCGUGAUAUUGUUCAAAGAAAAUACACGUACCUUAAAAGAAAAUACUCUGGGAGCCAGAACAAAUUAAAUCUUACUAUAUAUUAACUACCUUUUUUAUAUUUUUAAUUUUGGAUAAAAAUAUUUUUACUCCAUCUGAAAUAUGGGAAAUUUAAAAUUAGUCUCUUUAAAUUUUUUUGUCUCAAUGUCUCUAAAAUUUUAACAUGUUAUUUCAUUUAGCAUGUUAAUUAGUUUGUUACUAAACAAUGUAUCUAACACCUUAUGAUCACCAAUUUUUCAUUUUCUGUCAGUUCACCCUGUGACAUUUUUUCACUUUCUUUGGCCAUUCUUAGGGAUUCUUGGAGCAUCAUUCACCUCUUGAUCAUGGCGCACUUGAUGCCUUGGAUUUUUUGGAGGUUUAAAAUGCAUGGGCUGGGAUUUUUGAAGAUCAAGGUUAUUGUCACCUAAACACGUGGUUUUCUUUUCUAUUUCUACCAUCUUAAAAUACUUUUAUGCUUGUAUUUAUUGAUCUUAGUUUGGGGUUUGAAUUUCUUUUUAUCAUGACCAUCUAAGCUUAUAUUAUGAGGGAUGUUGUGACUUGAAUAUUAUGAAUUUUUCUAAUGUGUUGUGUAUAUUUGUCUUAUUGUACUUAAUUUUGAGUUUGGGAAUUGACUUUAAAGUGUUAAUUAAUAGACUAAUUAGUAACCAUCCAUAGAGACGUUCCCUAAUGUUCCAUUCAAUUAAUUAUACUUUUAGUAGUUUUUAACCUGUGAAGUUCAAAUAAUUAAGACGAAAAAAAUAGCAAAAGAAAUAUAUUAAAUGGCCACAACAUAGGGGACGUACGGUGCUUUAACUUUGAUAUUAUUAGCAUAAUCUUUUAACAAAUUGAGUUAAUGAGUCAAUUACGUUAUAAAAUAAAUAAUGUUACUAUACGUAAUAUUAAAAUUUCUAAUGUAUAUUUAAUACGGAUGUAAAUUUAAAUAAUAAAUUUUGUGACAAUUAAUUUUGAUAUAAGUCAUACAAAUUAUUUAAUUCGUAUAAUUUAUAUCAAAAUUAAUUGUAAUAAAAUUUAUUAUUUAAAUUUAUAUGCGUAUUAAAUAUACAUUAGAAAUUUUAGUGUUAUGUAUAGUAACAUUAUUUAUUUUAUAACAUAAUUGAUUCAUUAACUCAGUUGAUUAAAGCGUUAUGUUAAUAACCUGAAAAUUUACAGAAGAAUUUUUUUUUUGUAAGAGUUACGAGUGAAGGACAAGGCAAAAUUAGAAAAAUAAAAAAAUACUGGGUACAUCAGAAAUACUAUUGAUACACCUAGCAACACUCUUUUAGAAGGUAGCUUAAUAUAGAACUUAGCUAAGAAGUAAAUAAAUGUUUGUUAAAAAUUAUUUUUCUUUCACGAUCGAACUCAAAUAAUUUAAUUUUAUUUUCAACACAUUAAUCAUUUUAUUUUAUGUUGAAUCAUUUGAUUUCAAGUCAUAUGUUCUUAUCAAUCCUUAUCAAUGAAGUUUUCUCAUAUGUUAAAAAAAAGCCCCGAAAAUAAAGAAGGGCAAAAAAAGAAAGGGCCUCAAUAAAUGGAGAUAGAAAAAAAUAGUGAGUUCAUACAAGCAAGCCUUCGGUGAAUGCCACUUUAUCAAUCCAGAAAAGUACGAUUGCUCGAAAGGAUAAAUAUAUUUAGAUGCCGAAAAUACUAUUAUACACCUAUUAAAAAAGAGUGAAUUUUAUAAGUAUAUUAAAUAUAUGAUGUGAUGUGAGAAGAAGAAAAAAAAGAAAUGUUAAAAAACUAUUUAAAAUAAUGGAGUAUUCAAAAAUAACAUAUUUAGUACUUGGGCAAAUUUCCCCAUUUGGGGUACUUUUAAAAAGUAUUUUCCCAGAUGGGAUUGUUUUAAAAGAUUUUUCGGCAGGGGACUGUUUUGCACGUAAAAUGCAUGCAUGUUCCAAGCAAACUGCCAGUGAGACUGGCGAGUUUGCUCUCCAUGAACAAAUAACAGGUAAUAAUGGCGAUACUGCCAUGCAUAGGAAACCGCCAGUUUGACUGGCGAGUUCCACUAGGUAGGGCUUCAGCUUUGCAACAGGGAGCUCAGGAGCUCAGGCUUUUGCAGGAUGCAGGCGUGACAGGGAAAUCGUCACUCCUAUAGGCGAGUUAGUCUAAAGUGGAGUUGCCAAUGGUAUUGGCGAGUUAGGUGGGAGGUGCCACCUGCAUUGGCGAUUUAGCGUGUAAAUAUAGGUCCUUUUACGUUGCAGUUUCAGUGUGUGUUGCACUUUUUUAAAAGCUCUCAACUCAAAAUUUCCUUCUUCUCACGUAGUUUCAGUGUGUGUUACACUUUUUUAAAAGCUCUCAGCUCAAAAUUUCCUUCUUCUCACGUUUACAUUUGUUUUGUCAUAAGCUUUCCAAAUUUGGUGGUUCAGGUUUAAUUUGUAGCAUCAAUAUUUUCAGUCAAGUAAUUUUUUUUUAAUGUGAAGUUUUGAAUAAUUUUUUUAAUUAAAUUAGCUUUAUAUUUCUUAUGGUUGUUGGUGUGUGUUUAAAAUAAAAGAAAUUUGUACCAUCAUCUUUAUUUGAAGAAAAUAUUGAGUCCAAAAAUUGUAUUUUGAAUUUCAAGUUUUUAUUAUAUUUUUAAUUAGAUUAGGUUAGUUUUGAUGUUUUGUUAUUGUGUUAAAAAUUGAUCAAGUGUAUACUUUUAAAAGAUUUUAAAACUGAAAAAUUUUGUACCAUCAUAUUUAUUUGAAGUAUUUUGAGUGUGGAAUUUUUUUUAAUAUGAGGUUGUAGUAAUAUUUUUUUUAAAUUACUUUAGGUUGAUGUUAAUGAUUUGUUGGUAUGUGGUAAAAAUUAAUGAGCGUUGAACUUGAAUGGUAUUUUAAAUUUUAAUAUGAAGUGUGUAGUAUAUAAUUAAUAUGUGUACUUUUAAAGUGUUGUUUAGUUCAGCGUUUUUAAAUUUAUACUUUUAAGUCUAUGACAUCAUUUUUAUUUUAAUGUAUUUAUAGUAAUUUUGUAAUUACGUUUAUUUAUUUAGAAUUUAUUAUUGUUAACAUUAAUUAUUUAUAAUACUAACUUUGGUUAUGGUUUAUUUUGCCUUUAAAAUUAGUUCGUUGGAAUCGUUUAUAUUUUUUAAGUGUGUACCAUUAUAUUUAUUUAAAGUUAAUAUUUUUUGUAUAUAAUAAAAUUAUAAUGUGAAGUUCCAGCAAUGGGAUUUUUUGUGAUUUCAUUUUGUUAUUUUGAAUUUAUUAUGAUUAAUUAUUUAAAAUAUUGUUUUUGUAGGUACAUCAUGAAUUCAGUUAUAAUAGUAUUAUAUUUCAAUGAAAGGGUAUAUGAAGAUAAUGAUGGUGUAAGAUUUGAAGACAAUAAAAAAGCGAUUCAGAUUAAACGUGGAAUUAGUUUCAAUGUUUUGAAGAAAAAAAUUGGAGAUAAUGUAAAGUUAGAAAAUAAUGAAAUUAUUUGUGCUAUCAGUUGUAGAUUUUUAGUGUCUGAAAAAUAUGUUGCGUUACAAAUUUGUGAUGACGAAGAUGUUGAAACCAUGCUCAAAAGUUUUAAACAACAAGAUCAAAUGUCAGCUUUGAAAUUGACAACAAAAAUUUUACAUUAAAAAAAUUAACUACACUUACAAAAAAUCAAUUGAAUAUACAUACCACAUAAUUAAAAUCUGAAUAAAUAACAAAAUACAUCAAUUUGAACAAAUAACAAAAUUAAAAAUAACAAUACGUACACAAAUUUCAAUAAAUGCUCUAAAAUACUCUACAAAUAACAAAAUUACAAAUUAAACACGUACAUAAAUUUAACACAACAAAACUUAAAAUAUUACCUAAAAUACUCUACAAAUAACAAAAUUAAAAAUUACAUGCCUACACAAAUUUAAAUAAAUGACCAAAUUAAAAUACAUAACAAAAUUAAAAAUUUAAACACGUACAUAAAUUUAAUACAAAAUAACUUAAAAUACUACCUAAAAUACUCUACAAAUAACAAAAUUAAAAAUUAAAUAACUACAUAAAUUUAAAUAAAUGACCAAAUUAAAAUACAUAACACAAAAUUAAAAAUUAAAUACCUACACAAAUUUAAAUAAAUGACCAAAUUAAAAUACAUAACAAAUUUAAAAAUUUAAACACGUACAUAAAUUUAACACAAAAAAACUUAAAAUACUACCUAAAAUACUCUACAAAUAACAAAAUUAAAAAUUAACAUACCAACAUAAAUUUAAAUAAAUGACCAAAUUAAAAUACGUACAUAACAAAAUUAUAAAAUAAAACACGUACAUAAAUUUAACACAACAAAACUUAAUUUACUAACUAAAAUACUCUACAAAUAACAAAAUUAAAUAUUAAAAUACCUACAUAAAUUUAAAUAAAUGACCAUAUUUUUUUUCCAAUUAUUAAAAUUUAAAUUAAAUAACAUAUAUUAUACACAAAAAAUGGUAAUAAAUCAAAAAAUUACUAUGGGAUAAAAAAAUUAAGCGAUCUAUAUAUAUAAAAUUAAUAAAGUAUCAUAUAUUUCAAUAAAAACUAUAAAUAAGUAAACUAAAUACUAUUCACAUUCUAACUAAACCUAAAAUACCAUAUAUAUAAUACAAAAAAUAUCAUACAAACCUAAUAAAUCUAAACCAAAUAAUAAUAACAUAACAACUAAAAUUAACGUACAAAUAAUUUUAUCACAAAUAAUAACAUAAAUUUAAAAAAACCUAACUUAACUAAUAUUAACAUAUCAACUAAAAUUACCAAGUUAAAAAACACUUACUAACAGAGAAAUCACAUAAUAGGAAGAGGAGAGAAACCACGUAAUAGGAAGAACAAAGCACUGUCCUACAAACAUAAACAAACCUAACGUAAAUAAUUUUCAUAUAUCAACUACAAUUAAGUUAAUAUAUAUAUAUAUAUAUAUAUAUAUAUAUAUAUAUAUAUAUAUAUAUAUAUAUAACACAACAAAUAUUUACCAUUAAAAAAUACUUACCAAGAAGAAAAAGCAGAACAAAAUAAGAACACCACAAUGUACUGCAGGAACUUAUGAAGAAGAGGAAGAAAGCAAUGCAAGGAAGCAGCUGCGGAAUCCGUCAUGGAGCUUCUUCUUUUAUAAUGCAACAUUUUUCAAUUACCACAACUCGCCAGCCACGCUAACGAUUUCCGUCAAAUGCAAAUUGCCAUCCCUAUUGGUGGUUCCCUCCUGCACUGCUGACCACUGAACCCUGCACACCUGCAUGGCCUGACGGACUCCUGCAAAGCUGCAUGGCCUGACUCCUGCAAAGCUGGACCUCCUGAGCCUACCUAGUGGAACUCGCCAGUCAAAUUGGCGGGUCCCUAUGCAUGACAGUAUCACCAUUACCACAACUCGCCAGCCACUCUAACGAUUUCCGUCAAAUGCAAAUUGUCAUCCCUAUUGGUGGUUCCCUCCUGCACUGCUGACCACUGAACCCUGCACACCUGCAUGGCCUGACGGACUCCUGCAAAGCUGCAUGGCCUGACUCCUGCAAAGCUGGACCUCCUGAGCCUACCUAGUGGAACUCGCCAGUCAAAUUGGCGGGUCCCUAUGCAUGACAGUAUCACCAUUGCUACUUGCGAUUUGUUCACGGAGAGCAAACUCGCUAGUUCCACUGGCGAUUUGCGUGGUGCAUGCAUGCAAAACAUGUAAAUAACAGCCCCCUCUCGGAAAAACUUUAAAAAGGACCCCAUCUGGGACAAUACUUUUUAAAAGUACCCAAAAUGAGAAAUUUGCCUAGUACUUGAUCCUUUUUUCUCUUUGAAGAGGAUGAGCUCGAGAUUCACUUAUGAUCCUUGUGUUUAUUAUAAAAUUUAGUCCAUUAAUCAAGUUUGAAUCAAUAAGUUAUAUAUUAGUUCGAAUAAGAUUAGACUCAGUAUUCUAUAUUUAUUUUUUCAUGUGUAUUUUUUUAUAUAUUAAAAAGUUGUAGCAUAGUUCCAAAUAUAUUAAUUUUAUGACUUACUCAAAAUUGUUUUAAAUUUUAAAAAUAACUAUUUUUUUUAAUAAAAAAUUAGGGGUGGCAUAAGAGAAAGGUCUAAGCAUAGUAAAAAAAAAAUUAAAAAAUGCUUUUCUCACGAUGCAUAAGAAAAUGUCCCUUAUGCAUUUUCUUAUGAUCGAUUGAUUAGUUGGAGCAAACAAAAAUGAGAAAAAAUGCUCCACAAAAUAAUUCAAUCAUGUAUUUUUUUAAAAUUUCUUAAAAAUUUCUAGCAUAGUUCCAUAUAUAUUAAUUUUAAUUAUGACUAAAAUAGUUUAAAUAUAAAAAACUAUUUAUCUUUUAGAAAUAUCUUUAAAAUAAUUAAACAAAUAAUAAUUUAAGUGAAUAAAACAAAAAAAAGUUAUAAAAAAUAAUUUUAAAAGAUUUUUGUGGAUAAAUGAGAGGGGGUAUUUUGAAAUAAUUAAAAAAUAUUAAUUUUUUAAAAUACUGUAAUGGAUUAAUUGGAUAUUCAUCCAUAAAAAUGUUAAUUAAUGCAUUUAUUAAAUUGAUCAUGAACACAUUAAGUUUGUUUUAUGAAUUUUGAAUGGAUAUUCAUAAAUGAAAUUGUGGUAUUUUUGCUAAUGAUAAUAUUUUUUCUCAUCAUUAUAUGUAGUUCAUCUCUCUUCUAAGAAGGUAAAAAGUUAUGCUUUGUUUGACAUGUUGUGGUAUGGUCUACUUUGAUUAUGCAUAACAAAAUUGUGUUUCAAGGCGUUUUCUUUUGACUUUAAUGGUGUUUUGUACUUGAUAAAAAAGGUUGUUUUGUAGACAUGGUAUGAGACUAUGAGCAAUACUGUCCGUUCUUUUUUAAUUAGUGUAUUGAUCAUGUAAUUUAUCUUUAUUUGUUCCUUUGGUUUUGCAUUAAUUGUAAUACAUAUGUAUUAGGAUUGGAAUACCCAUUGUACUCUUUUUCUUAAAAUAAAUAAAUAAAUAAAACUUUGCUUUUAAAAUAAAUGUACGUUAGCCGCACUCUCUUUUUAAUAUUUUCUCUUAUACCAUUAGCUGAAAAAAUUAACAAUUUUGGUGGGAUUUUGUUUCUUUUAAUGAGGUAUCUCUAUCUAUCUAUAUCGAUUUCGAAAUGAAAUCCAUCCAAAUUGAUGACAUUUUAUAAAUUUCAAGCAAUGGUAAUAGAGUAUUAGAAAAAGAGUGUCAAUUUUUUUUGCUAAUAUUCCUUAAAAAAAUAAGAUCGUAUGAGUUUUUUAGGUAGAAGCACUUUGGACAUUUAUUACCAAUCCAACUUUAAUUGUUUUUUUAUUUAUUAUUCACUACGGUGUGUUUGGAUCAACUGAAAAAAUUAGGUUAUUUUAAUAUUUGAUUAUAUUAAUAACAAUUAUUGGUAUAAUACAUUAUAAUCCGAAUAAGUUUUUGUUUGAGUUUGUUUCUUGUAAACUUAUAUAUUUUAAGAUAAUUAUUUUUGUAUGGAUGAAAAAAAUAAUUAUUUUUUAAUUAAAAAAAUACCUUUAAUUUUACAAAUUUGAGUUGUUUUUCAAAUUAUAUAAGAUUAACACACUAUAAAAAAACUAAAAUUUUCAAUAUACCGAAUCGUCAUUCAGAUAGUCUCUUCUCUCCAUGUGAAGAGUUAUAAAAAUUCUAUUAAGAAAUAAAAAAAACUUCCGGUUGAAGAAGAAUAAUGAAGUCACCUAUAUCCAUGUAAAUCUUGUUUCCUAUCAAAUCGUAAUAGCUACAACAUCACAAUAGUUUUGCAAGAUUGCAUGUGAAUCAAAUCGUAAAAAGGGUACAAUUCAAUAGUUUUGCAAAAAUAUAAUUGUAAUAGCUACAACAUCACAAUACUUCAAUUUCAAACAUGAAAUUAAACAUAUGACUUAAAACAACACUAAAAUUCUUUAUUAUAAUAUGUGGAGCCUCAAAAAAAGAAUUAAAAAGAAAUUACUUCUAUAUAUUGCUAGGAAACAGAAUCAUGAUUCCUCUAAAUCCAAGCUUUCAAACCAUUUUAUAUCCUAUUUAAGUCAAAUCGUUAAAACGUAUCUUUGUAUCCAUUUUAUGAAAGUGAAAAUCAUCUUUAAAAUAUUAAUGCUUUAGGCUAAGACAAAUCAUCCCCAUUUUCAUUGCAUCGGUUGGAAAUCAUUGUAGCACCCGGCCAUAUCAAAUAAAUUAGUAUGUAAAGCACUAUUUCUUCCUACUUAGUCUAACCAAAAUUAAUUAAAAUUAAUAGGAGAUUUGUUUUAAUUAGAGUUAGAGUCCUACAUUACAAAUUGAGAUUAUUUGAUUCAUUAAUAAAUUUUAAGAGCCAAACAUUUCACAAAAUUAAUCUUAUGUGUUUAACCCAUGAUAACCGAUAAAUAUGGAUUAUUUUUUAUAAUAAAAAUAUAUUAAAAAUAUCUUUAAAAAUAUUUAUUUAAUAAUUAUUUUUAGCUUAAAUAUUAUGAAUUGAUAUUUUUUUCUAUUUAUAACUUACAUGUAUGAAAAAGAGGAAUUAAAAAAGAAAAAAAGAUUAAAAAAUAUAAAAAAUAUAAAUAAGAAAAAUGUUGACAUUAAACCCAAGUCUAAGGAAAACAAUCACGUUAACAUUAUUAAGAUUGAGAACUCUCUCAACCUAUUUUUUUUUUGUUAUUUUAAAUUUAAUUUCUUAUCUCUUGCCUGUCAAUUAAAUUUAUAUUAAUUUAAGUAUAAACAAAAUUAAUACUUAAAUUUUUUAAUAUUUUACUAUUUAAGAUAAUUUGAUGCAUUUAUGAAUGAGUUACCAACCCACUCAUACACUACAAUUAUUCCCUUGAAAUUCAGCUAUUAACAAUGAAGAAUUGGCCAUAUAUAGUAGCAGAAGUGGAUAUAUACCGAUAGGGGAGGAUAACAAAAGCCAUUCAAAAACAAAGAAAAACAUAAUAUGUAGCUUUAUCCAUGUAUUAGGAUCAUAUUCGUGUAGCAUUAAAAGAACAAAGUUUUUCAGUGACAAACUCCUAAAAGCAUCAUGUCAAAGCCGUAGAAUCAACGAGCAUCCCAUAAAUAAAAAUAAAUAAAAUCACCAUAUUCAUGCACAAUUACACGUAGAAAUUAAUAAAAUCUUGUCCCCCGACAUCCGUACAACAAGAUAACGAAGAAAAACCCCGGUUGAAGUCUAUCAUAAACCCAAGGCCUUCAAUCCAAAACAUAUUGCAUUAAAUCAGGAGUUUCAACUUUCAAGCUAUUAAUCCAAUUAAGAUUUUAUAUCCUUUUUUUUAAUAUUCAACUUGAGCUAUCUAUCUCCAUUAUUAAAUCUAUAAAGUUCUGAAAAUGAAAAUUCAUCAUCCCUAUAGAACACAAAAUAAUACAGAUAGACAAGUGCAAAUUAUUACACAAAACUGAUAUUCAAACUAUACAAUAAAAAGAGGAUCGAAUGACAAUAAUGAGAGUGAUUAAAAAAAUAUACAAAUUCAAGGUCAUGAUGACAACUCUGAUUCUGUGAAUAGGGAGGUCCAUAUGAAUGAAGAAUAAAAGCCAGUCAUUACCUAGUGCUUAGUUAACUUUCUACUAGAAAUACUCUUCCUUCGGGUCACAUCAGGUGCCAACUAAUUCUACUUCUGCUCUGAGAAACUACCAUAAAAAUUUGUUUGGGAAUCCACAACCCUAACACCUUUUUCUACAAACCCCUAAUUGAAAAGAGAGUAUAAUAAACACAAAAAGCUUGUGGGGAAAAUUAAAAGAGAGGGAGAGGGAGAGAGCGCGAGAGAAAAAAUAAAAUUAAAAUAAUAUUUUUAAGAUAGUUUUAAAUAUUGUAUCAUGUACCAUAGAAAUGAUUAUAAAUGGAUCUAGAUUUAUGUCCUUGUCCCUGUAAAAGACUAAUAUUUUUAACAAAAUAAAUAAAAAAGUUAAAAUGAAACUAUAAAAAUUUAAAAUAAAACUUUUAAAAUUUAAUAUACUAAAUCAGAAAAGAAAAAUACUAAAAUAUAAACGAUGAAAAUAAUUUUUUUAAAACUUAAUAUUCCCUAAAAAUAAAAUAAAAAAUCCAAAGAACCAAAAGUACUAUAUAUCUGGAGGCCUAAAUGCCACAAACAAUCACACAACUAAAACGAAAAGGCAUCGUAUGGAUGGGGCAACGCAUUCAACAACUAAUGAUGCUCCAAAUUAAAUGAGUAAAUUUAUAAAUGUACAAUCCAUUUUUGUGUGGAUUGGACAAGGCAAUUAAGAGAGAUGUGAUAUCAUAGCAAAUAUAGAUAUUAAAAAAUAUAAGAUGAAAGAGUAUGAGUUCUAAGUAGGAUGUAUGUUUAUAAUGAUAACUCAUAAUACUAUUCUUCCUAAGCUCAUAAAUCCAUAACAUCCGAGUUUGAGUGAAACAUAAGACUUAGACUUGGUGUAUAUUUGAAUUAAAGUUGACGAUUUUAAUAUUAUAGUAGUUUUAUUGUAUAAGUUCAAGAAGGACUUUGGUCUUGCUUUUUUGUAAAUUUGAUUUCGAAUAUAAGUGUGUAAACAUACUCUUAAAGAUAACUAAACAUACUCUUAAAGAUAACUAAAUAUAUCAUAUGAAAUAAAAAUGAGUUUAUGCUCCAAACCAAGUUUAAAACACCAAAAUAAAAUCCAAACAUGUUGAUAUCGAUGUUAUUAAUAGUCUAAUGCAAAAGAAGCAAAUCGUAGACAGAAAAUGAUAACUAAAAGCAUUCACCAAAGCCCACCAUGGCAAAAGUUGUGAUUAGUAUAUAAUGUUGGAGCAUGUUGUGCUUAUUAGAAAUCGAAAGCUCCACCUUUGGUUUCUUUGAUGACAAUAUAUAAGAGUGCCGUUGAGGUAGGUGACGUUGUAGUAGAAAUUCAUGUCGGGGACAACACAUCGUGGUAGCACCUACUGAUGGGGUGACAACACAUCUUUAGCAGGACAAUUAAAGAAUAGUCGAUGAAGAAAAAUUGAAUAAAAAGCAAAAAAUAAUAUAUAUAUAUAUAUAUAUAUAUAUAUAUAUAUAUAUAUAUAUAUAUAUAUAUAUAUAUAUAUAUAUAUAUAUAUAUAUAUACCUUUCUAAUUAAAUAUUUUAAUAAUAUAAUAAAAUAAAAUAGUAAAUUAUAAAUUUAAAAAUACUAAAAUAAGUAAAUCUAAUAAUAUAUUACUAUGGGAUGAUAAUUUACUGAUGUUAUAGUAAUGAUAAACCAUUUUUAUCUUAAAUUUAAUAUUAUUAGAAAAUAAUAAAAACAUGUUAAACAAUAAUAAAUAUAAAAUAAUCUAAAUGAUUAAUUGUUGUUAUUAUGAAUCAUUUUCAAUGAAAAAUAUGAAUGAUAUCUUUUAUCUUCUUAGCUUUAAUGGUAGUUUUAUGUAGUUUUAGAAUAACCUAACUUUUAACCCUCUUACAAUUGAAAAAUAGUAAUAUAUAGAGGAAAUGAGGCUUAACUUGGGAACAAUAUAUAUUUAAAUACAAUAAAGUAUAAUCAGCAUUUGUGGUAUAAAUCUAGUCGGAAUCAUGUCUGUUUUCGUCAUGCAGGGGCAUAACAUUAGGCCUUCUAAUAAAAUGGUAAAUAUUAUUUUAUCCGUAUAUAAUACAUUCGUUGUUGGAGGAAGACAUAUUUUUACCAUAAUUUCUUAAAAAAAUAAAUCACUCAAUAAAGUGUUUCCUCCCAAGUCGUAAGAAAAUAAUCAAGCUAUAGAUGCGCUACGAAAUUAAUGUUUUGUAAAAUGAAAUAUAUAAAUAGGAAGAACUUGUAAAAAAAAAAAAUAGAGAUAAACAAUGAAGAAAAUAACCAUUAGUUAAAAUUCGUGAAAUGAGAAUAUCUGAGUAUAAAAUUACAACUAAUCUGAAGGAAUCUGCUAAACAACCUAAUCUUCUAUCAUUUUCAUUUGAUAUUUAAAUUAUUGACUGCUGAAACAAAACUCAUAAAAGAUAAAAUCUGCAACAACAAUAGAACUCUAUCUAAAACUUAUUCAAAAUUCAAAUAAGGCAGGUCUCAUAUCUUUAGCUAGACAAGAAGAUAUACUAUGAGGGCACUACUGACCCCGACCCUAUCACGUGCAUGCAUAUGAACUAUUAUCUACAAGUUGUCCCCACUGCCCAAGAACGAGAGCAAGUGCCAAAUGGCUCCAGCCCCAAACCACAGCGAGCAACACAAAACCAGUCCCCCAUGCCACUAGCUGUAUAUAUGCAGAUUACAAAAAGAGACGUGCACCACAUACAGAACAAAUUGAUGAAAAGUAUAAUAUAGUAUAUUUAUGAAUCACGAUUAAAAUAAAUUUCUAACAAUUACUUGAUUUUAAAAGCUUUUAUAGUUUUAAUUUCCAAAGGUUAUUAGUUUUAUUAAUAGUUUUUUAUACUCGUAUUAUAUUACAAAUAUAAUAAUGACUAAAUUAAGGUUAAUAUAUAUACCUCCUGAAUAUAUUUUGUAAAAAUACACAAACUUUCUCUAUUUUUUUAUUAUAAAAAAAUAAGGUUGCCAAGCCAUUGUUCAAAUCAAAGGGCGAUCCAAUAGUAGGUGAGAACUAAAAUAAAUUUUUAUUUUUUUUAUUUUAAAUGAAGAAUAAUACGUCGUAUUUUUUAAAUAAAUAUGGUCUUUUUAUUUUAUAAUAGCUAAUAAAAAAUUUAUAGAACUAAAUUUUACUUGUUUUAUUGUUGUUUUCACUCUCAUUCAAAGGAGUAAAAGAAUGAACUUGUCCCCGAUCCGAUAACCACACCCCACGCAGCGUAGUAAAUUUUCUUCAUCAAAAUUAUCUAUGUAAAACUCCAGCAGCAACUGGAAAAAGAUUUCGAUUUCUUUAGUUUCAGUACACCAAAGCACUCUCCAUGCGUGAAGUGAAACUAGAUGGUAUAUUCUGAAAGUGAUCCCGUGGAGAAUUUGGAAGAACAGAGAGGGUAUUCAGACAAAUUAUAGAAGCCACCGAUGAAUCAAUGAGUAGAAUAUGCUUCUUCUUUGAAGAUUAACUAUCCCCACCACGCCUGAAGGACUUAAAAGCUUCUAAAAUAAAUUUAAGAAUGAAUUUUUUUUAUUUAUUUAUAAAACUUAGUGUUCUUAUUUAUCAUUUAAAAAUGACACAUUUUAUUUUAUAAUAAUUUUUUUAAAGUAUAUUAGUACUAAAAAAUAUUUUAAUUUUUUUUUAAAACCUAAAGCCUUUCCUUGAGCUCCUUAGACCUUAAGCCGGUCCUUAUUAUCCCUGGGUGGGCAACUUGUUAAUGAUGAAUUGAAGACCCUUCAAACCUGUGUGCUACCUUAAGUAGGAGUGGAAUAUCAAUUGUUUCCACACUAGGGACAAAACUUCAUCAAACUCAUGAACUUACUCAGUCCCUUCCAGCGUGGAAUUCGCAACAACGACCCUCAGUCAUCUUCCUCUAUAUAUUACUACUCAGCUCUUAUACAUAGACCCACACAGUUAUACAACUCUAGAGAAUCAAGAAAAUUAUUUUAUAUAAAAAUAAUAUAUAUAUAUAUAUAUAUAUAUAUAUAUAUAUAUAUAUAUAUAUAUAUAUAUAUAUAUAUAUAACAUAUAAAUUAAAUAUUUUAACAAUAUAAUAAAGUAAAAUAGUAAAUUAUAAACUAUAAAAUACUUCAACAAUUAAGUUUAAUAAUACAUUAUUAGUGAAUAAUAACCUAUUGAUCUUAUAAUAAUGAUAAAUUAUGCUCAUCUCAAAUUUGUUGUUAUCAGAAAAUAAAACAUAUUUACUCAAAUUUGUUGUUAUUAGAAAACAAAACAUAUGUUAAAUAGUAAAUAUACAUAAAAUAAUCCAAAUAACUUACUGAUGUUGUUAUGAAUCAUUAUGAAUGAAAAAUGUGAAUGUUAUCUUUUAUCUUCUUAGCUUUAAUGAUAGUUUUAUGUAGUUUUAUAGUAACCUAACUUUUAACAUUCUUGCAAUUGAGAAAUAAUAAUGUAUAGAGGAAAUGAGGCUUAACUUGCGAACAAUAUAUAUUUAAAUACAAUAAAGUAUAAUCAGCAUUUGUGGUAUAAAUCUAGUUGGAAUCGCUUCUGUUUUCGUCAUGCAGUGGCAUACCUUUGGGCCUUCUAAUAAAAUGGUAAAUAUUAUUUUAUCCGUAUAUAAUACAUUCGUUGUUGGAGGAAGACAUAUUUUUACCAUAAUUUCUUAAAAACAAUAAAUCACUCAAUAAAGUGUUUCCUCCCAAGUCGCAAGAAUCAAGCUCUAGAUGCGCUAGGAAAUGUUUUGUAAAAUGAAAUAUAUAAAUAGGAAGAACUUGUAAAAAAAUAGAGAUAAACAAUGAAGAAAAUAGCCAUUAAAAUUCAUAAAAUGAGAAUAUCUAAGUAUAAGAUUACAACGAAUCUGGAUGAAUCUGCUAACAACCUAAUCUUCUAUCAUUUUCAUUUGAUAUUUAAAAUAAUUAACUGCUAAAACAAAACUCAUAAAAGAUAAAAUCUGCAACAAUAAUUGAACUCUAUCUAAAACUUAUUCUAAAUUCAAAAUUCAAGUAAGGCAAGUCUCAUAUCUUUAGCGAGAGAAAAGAAAAUACUAUCACGCCAAUACUGACCCCGACCCUAUCAGAUGCAUGAACUUUUAUGGAAAGUUGUCCCCACUCCCCAAACCCAAAACCGCAGCCAGCAACACAAAACCAGUCCCCCAUGCAAUAGCUGUAUAUAUGCAGAUUACAAAAUUAAAAGAGACACCACAGAACAAAUGAAUGAAAAGUAUAAUAGUAUAUUUAUGAACGAAGAUGAAAAUAAAUUUCUAACAAUUAAUUAAUUUUAAAAGCUUUCAUAGUUUUAAUUUGCAAAUGCUAUUAGUUUUAUUAAUAGUAUAUAGAUACUUGUAUUAUAUUACAAAUAUAAUAAUGAAAAAAUUAAGGUUAAUAUGCCUCCUAGAAUAUAUUUUGUAAAAAUACACAAACUUUCCAAAUUUUAUUUUUUAUUUUAAAUGAAAAAUAGUAUGUCGUAUUUUUUAAAUAAAUAUGAUUUUUUUAUUUUAUAAUAGCUAAUAAAAAAAAUUUGGAGAACUAAAAUUUAAAUUUUAGUUAUUUUAUUGUUGUUUUCACUCUCAUUUAAAGGAGUAAAAGAAUGAACUUGUCCCCGAUAACCACGCUACACAGCCUAGUAAAUUUUCUACACCAAAAUGAUCUAUGUAAAACUCCAGCAGCAGCUGGAAAAUACUCCGAUUCCUCUAGUUCCAGGUACACCAAAACACUCUCCAUGCGUGAAGUGAAACUAGAUGGUAUUUGCUGAAAGUGAUCCCGUGGAGAAUUUGGCAGAACAGAGAGGGUAUUCAGACAAAUUAUAGAAACCACCGAUGAAUCAGUGAGUAGAAUAUGCUUCUUCCUUGAAGAUUAACUAUCCCUAGUGGGCAACUUGUUAAUGAUGAAUUGAAGACCCUUCAAACCGUGUGUGCUACCUUAGGUAGGCGUGGAAUAUCAAUUAUUUCCACACUAGGAACAAAACUUCAUUAAACUAAUGAACUUACUCAGUCCCUUCUAGCGUGGAAUUCGCAACAACGACCCUCAGUCAUCUUCCUCUAUAUAUUACUCCUCAGCUCUUAUAUUUAGACGCACACAGUUAUACAGCUCAAGAGAAUUAUCAUACCCUUUAAGAUGAAACCGUACCUACGUCCAAUAUUCCUAUUAUUCCUUAUCCUUCUCGACCAAUCCACUU
rnacentral:lncRNA from 1 species